rnacentral:rRNA from 1 species
AGUGAACGCUGGCGGUAGGCCUAACACAUGCAAGUCGAACGGCAGCACAGGAGGGCUUGCUCUCUGGGUGGCGAGUGGCGGACGGGUGAGGAAUACAUCGGAAUCUACUUUUUCGUGGGGGAUAACGUAGGGAAACUUACGCUAAUACCGCAUACGACCUACGGGUGAAAGCAGGGGAUCUUCGGACCUUGCGCGAUUGAAUGAGCCGAUGUCGGAUUAGCUAGUUGGCGGGGUAAAGGCCCACCAAGGCGACGAUCCGUAGCUGGUCUGAGAGGAUGAUCAGCCACACUGGAACUGAGACACGGUCCAGACCCCUACGGGAGGCAGCAGUGGGGAAUAUUGGACAAUGGGCGCAAGCCUGAUCCAGCCAUACCGCGUGGGUGAAGAAGGCCUUCGGGUUGUAAAGCCCUUUUGUUGGGAAAGAAAUCCAGCUGGUUAAUACCCGGUUGGGAUGACGGUACCCAAAGAAUAAGCACCGGCUAACUUCGUGCCAGCAGCCGCCGUAA